UACAGAGGUCUCAAGCGUUGUUCGGAUUCAUUGGGCGUAAAGCGCGCGUAGGCGGCCCGGUAAGUCCGCUGUGAAAGUCAAAGGCUCAACCUUUGAAUGUCAGCGGAUACUGCCGGGCUAGAGUCCGGAAGAGGCGAGUGGAAUUCCUGGUGUAGCGGUGGAAUGCGCAGAUAUCAGGAGGAACACCAACGGCGAAGGCAGCUCGCUGGGACGGUACUGACGCUGAGGCGCGAAAGCGUGGGGAGCGAACAGG
rnacentral:rRNA from 1 species